rnacentral:lncRNA from 1 species
AUCUUAUCUCCCCAUGGCACCCAGGGAUUGCCCCAACCUCUUGAUACCGAAAAGUCCUCCUCCCACAGGCCCUGCUGGUUCACUCUGUUCCUGAGUGCAACCUUCAUCUGGUCCUGCAUGCCUUGCACUAUCUUCCUCACAGGGGCUGUGAGAAUAUCUGCAGGUUGGGACCUUACCUGGACCUCUCAACUAGAACACCUACACAGCAUGGAGGCUGGAUUCUGAGGAAGAGCAUCCUGAAAGAGAGAGUCAGCUGGAAGCUGUGUCACCAUUUCUACACCCUCCUGGGAAGUCACACAAAGGAUGCUUCCUUUCUGAUGCGUUCUGUUGGCUAGAAGCAAGUCACUAAAGGAAAAGGGAAUUACACUCCAACUUUUGAUAGAAGACUGUCAAAGAUUUUUCAUAUGUUUUAAAACUACCACUUUCCAAUGGGAUACAAGUGGAACAAAGAAUAAGCAUAGGUUUUCUUUUGUAAUCAGAGAGACUGGUACACAUUAGUAGAAAUAAACAAGUGAAAGAAAGAAAUCUAAAUAUGUAUUAGAUUCUGAUGUGAGUGAAAGGCCAUUUCAAGACUGAAUACGUUGGUUGAUGUUUUGUGGUUCUGUGAACAUGGUCUUAUUAUUAUAUGCAUUUAGCGAUGUCAUUCAAUUACUAAUGAAGUAUCCUGCUUCUUACAUACCAUUAUUCCUCAGAAAAACCUUAUCUCUAAAUCAAAUACUUUAUUCAUAGAAUAAAGCACAUUUGGUUACCUAUUCUGUAGAGCU